CAGUCGCCGCGGGAAUACGGAGGGGGCAAGCGUUAUCCGGAAUUAUUGGGCGUAAAGGGUACGUAGGUGGCCUUUUAAGCGUAGGGUAUAAGGCAAUGGCUCAACCAUUGUUCGCCCUAUGAACUGGAAGGCUUGAGUGCAGGAGAGGAAAGCGGAAUUCCUAGUGUAGCGGUGGAAUGCAUAGAUAUUAGGAGGAACAUCAGCGGCGAAGGCGGCUUUCUGGACUGCAACUGACACUGAGGUACGAAAGCGUGGGGAGCAAACAGGAUUAGAUACCCCGGUAGUCCCUGUCUCUUAUACC
rnacentral:rRNA from 1 species